rnacentral:rRNA from 1 species
GAUGAACGCUAGCUACAGGCUUAACACAUGCAAGUCGAGGGGAAACGGCAUUAAGUGCUUGCACUUUUUGGACGUCGACCGGCGCACGGGUGAGUAACGCGUAUCCAACCUUCCCAUGACUAAGGGAUAACCUGCCGAAAGGCAGACUAAUACCUUAUGGUCUUCACUGACGGCAUCAGAUGUGAAGUAAAGAUUUAUCGGUUAUGGAUGGGGAUGCGUCUGAUUAGCUUGUUGGCGGGGUAACGGCCCACCAAGGCAACGAUCAGUAGGGGUUCUGAGAGGAAGGUCCCCCACAUUGGAACUGAGACACGGUCCAAACUCCUACGGGAGGCGGCAGUGAGGAAUAUUGGUCAAUGGGCGAGAGCCUGAACCAGCCAAGUAGCGUGCAGGAUGACGGCCCUAUGGGUUGUAAACUGCUUUUGUAUGGGGAUAAAGUCAAUCACGUGUGAUUGUUUGCAGGUACCAUACGAAUAAGGACCGGCUAAUUCCGUG